AACUUUGCACAGCAGCAGCAUUGUAGCCAAUGAUGUUUAGCCGAGGCAUGAUUAUUGCUAAUUGAAAAUUUUCAUGUAGGUACAAUACUAAAGAUGGCAAUAAAUAAGUACCUAUUUAUAAUAAUCUUAAAUGUAAA